GCUGCGAUGGCCGAGUGGUUAAGGCGUUGGAUUCGAAAUCCAAUCGGGUUUCCCCGCGCAGGUUCGUACCCUGAUCGCAGCG